rnacentral:rRNA from 1 species
CCGCCCGUCACGCCAUGGAAGUUGGUUUCGCUUGAAGAGAUAAAGCUAACCGCAAGGAGGCAUAUCUCAAUGGCGAUACCGAUGACUGGGGUG